AUUGAACGCUGGCGGCAGGCCUAACACAUGCAAGUCGAACGAGUGGCGGACGGGUGAGUAAUGUCUGGGAAACUGCCUGAUGGAGGGGGAUAACUACUGGAAACGGUAGCUAAUACCGCAUACCAUCGGAUGUGCCCAGAUGGGAUUAGCUAGUAGGUGGGGUAACGGCUCACCUGGGCGACGAUCCCUAGCUGGUCUGAGAGGCUGACCAGCCAACAUGGAAAGGAGACACGGUCCAGACUCCUACGGGAGGCAGCAGUGGGGAAUAUUGCAAAAUUGGCGCAAGCCUGAUGCAGCCAUGCCUCGUGUAUGAAGAAGGCCUUCGGGUUGUAAAGUACUUUCAGCGGGGAGGCGUUACCCGCCGAAGAAGCACCGGCUAACUCCGGGGCAGCAGCCGCGGUAAUAC
rnacentral:rRNA from 1 species